rnacentral:lncRNA from 1 species
UUUUUUUUUUUUUUUUUUUUGCUUUUUGCUUUUUAGGGACGUACCUGUGGCAUAUGGAAAUACCCAUGCUAGGGGUCGAAUAGGAGCUACAGCCAUUGGCCUACACUACAGCUCAUGGCAACACUGGAUCCCCAACUCACCGAGUGAGGCCAGGGAUUGAACCCUCAUCCUCAUGGAUAUUAGUGGGAUUUGUUUCCUCUGCACCACAAUGGUAACUACCUAAAUCACGUUUUUAAAAGUCUCUUGAAAAUAAUUAUUUUUAAAACUUUAAAUAUAUAUAAGCUACAAUUUAUGCUGCAGUAUUCUCUGCUUUGGUCACUGUUCUUGGUAUCUUUUCUAUUCUACCCUUUAAGAAAAACAUUUCAAGGUUUCUGGGGUUUGUGUUGGUAGUUUACAGCUUAAAGGAUUUUCUGAUGCCCAUUCUCUUAGCUACACCCAUCAGUAUCAGUGGGUAUGUUUUCAUAUAGCUUGUUUAGACUAAGAAGAUGUUCAUGAAAGUGAAAUGAUUUUCAGGUGCUUUUGAUUCAUGUGGGGAGCACUAGAACAAUAUCUCAAUUCAUGAUACAGAUGCAUAUUUCAAUUCUGAUUCAAGCACUCAAGUUGGUCAAUCCAUAACUUGGAGAAGGUAAAUAGAACUUCUUUUACAUGUAAAGAAAUUGGGUAUCAGAGAAGUAAAACCUGGCUUUGCCUGUACUGAGAUGAAACCAUUUAUAGGCUUUACCUGUGCUACAUAGUGUGAGCAUUCAUUCACUUCACUACAGAAAUAGGUUUAGAUCACAGCAUGCUGCCCCAGAGCCUGCUGGAAACAUUCUAUGAUACACAGUAUCCAUAUGGACCUUACUGCCAUAAACUCUGAAUUCUCAGUCACACCUGGUCCCAAGGAUUUUCAGUAAGGGAUUGUUGACCUAUAGUUAUUUUCUUUCCAGAAUAGUCAUUCAGGCAAUUUGGUACUUAGAAGCAUAAAUAUAGUGAUGAUAUAUUCUAAAUAUUACAGAACAAUUCUGAUUUCCAGAAUUCCUUUUUAACUUGUAGUUUCUGUGCAAGCCACAGGACACGAUUUUAUAUUUUGAAAGUUAUGAAUAUACUUAUUAUUAGACCUACAAUUCAAACCAGUGUGUAAUUGUACACCAUUAGAGAAAAUUAGAAAACAUUUUUUAAAAUUUACGCUGUUCCCCAAAAGCCGAUGACAAUGUCUGGGAAACAACUUGAUUCUACCUUCUAAUUUUCCUUCCCUUUUAUUAACAAAAUCACAACAUGACUAGGUCACAAACCAGUAAAUUGCAUUUGGCAGCUGAAUGUCACUGUUACCUGUAGGUAAUGGUCUCUUCUGCCUGGCACAUAUACAGUAGGCAUGUAGCAAUUAUUUAAUGGAUAAAUAAAUUAUAACACUUUCAUGGCUGGCUUAAUCCUGUAAGUAAUAAUUGACUUAUAUUACCUCUUAUCACCUGAUUGUUUUCUCAUGAUUGUUUUUAGCCAGUGAAGUGGUUUCAGACAUUGGAAAGAAGUAGAGUAUUGUUUAUGAAACCAGAGAUGGCCUGGAUGGGAGACUGAAUUGGAAUCCUUGAUUCCCAGUACAGAGAAGGCCCUUGAUAUUUAAGAAUAAAAAUAACAGCUGAGCUUUAUGUCAUGUGUUUAAUGCCAUGACCAUAAAGCCAUUACUGUAACGCCUACGUUUAUUUUCUUAAGGAAGCCGCUGAACCGCCCUCAGAAUGGCUUAGUUUUUAGUGACUAUGGUUUUCCUUUGGGACCUCGAUUCCAAGAAGACGCAGUUUUGUCAAAGGCUCUUUCAUCCUGUUUCUUUAAAAAAAAGUACCCUGCAAUAGGUAAAACAUCUUUAGAUAGAAAAAGUAGUCAGCCUACGCCAAAUCUUCCCCUACCUCCUUCCUCUUUCAUUUCCCACUUGUGCUUGUGUACUACUAACUAUAUUGAGGGUACAUGGCCACUAAGGUUUAAGGUUUUUUGAGAGCAGGGACUGUAUCAUAUUUACUUUCACUUUUCCUUCUGUGCUUAAAACAGGACUUCUACUUCUUCAGCAAAUAUUCUGGGUUAAGUAUCUGGCAUUGCCAAAGAUGUGUAUGCAGCAACUGUGGCUAGGAUUCGAUUUCUGGCCCAGGAACUUCCAUAUGCUACAGUGUGGCCAUUUUAUUUUAUUUAUUUUUUUUUUUAAAGGCAUGUAUUUGAGGACAGUACCUUUUCUAUUAAGCCUCUUUAGAAACACAGUUAGCCAAGGAGAGGCUGAAUCACGACACCAUUGUUAGUCAUCCACACCUUAGUUUGUAGAUCAAGCUGUUGAAAGGAGUUAGGACUCCAAAAAGGUAAAGGGUGUGUGACUUAUGUAGUGUGUGUGUCUUAGGUUAGAAAGAGGAUAGGGGUCAGUGGGUGGAAUUGGAGAUUGGGGCCUGACAGUGGAACAGUGCAUGGAAGGAUAGAUAUGCGUCAUGUGUUUUGAGGAGUAUAAGGGCCAUGGGUUCCCAAAGAUAGUGCACACCUAGUAAAGAGAUGAGCCCUGAAGAGGAAUGCCCUUCAUGGAAUCUGGAGCUGCAGAACUGGGAUUCUAGUACUGAUUCUGCCAGUAACUUGUUCUCUGUCACAUCCCCUUUCUGGGUCUCAAUUUCACCAUCUAUAAAAAAUAAGGUUCUUAAAAAGGUACAAGCUCCUAAGACUUACCCAGGAAGAAAUAGAAGAUGUAAGCAGAUCAAUUACCAGUACUGAAAUUUAAUCAGCAAAUUUUUUUUUCUUUUUUUUAGGGCCGCACCAGUGGCAUAUGGAGGUUCCCAGGCUAGAGGGUGAAUUGGAGCUGUAGCCGCUGGCCUGUGCCACAGCCACAGCAACGCAGAUCCAAGCUGCAUUUGUGACCUACACCACAGCUCAUGGCAACUCAGGAUCCUUAACCCACUGAGCCAGGGGUGGAACUUGUGUACUUAGAGUUACUGGUCGUAUUCGUUUCCACUGAGCCAUGUCAGUAUAUCCGCAUCAGUAAUUUUUAAACUCCCAACAAUCAAAAGUCCAGGACCAGAUAGCUUUACAGGCAAACUCUACCAAACAUUUAGAGAAGAGUUAACACCUAUCCUGAAACUUCCAAAAGACUGCAGAGGAAGGAACACUUCUGAACUCAUUCUGUGAGGCCACCAUCACCCUGACACCAAACCAAGUUACCACAAAAAAAGAAAAUUACAGGCCAGUCUCAUUGAUGAACACAUGAUCCCCUAAAAUUUCAUAUAGUUUGAUGUCAGAAGCUGCAAAGUUAAGGCUAAUCUGAUUGUGCUUUAGUGAUAGAGUUCUCUGACCUUCAGCCUUCUCAUUUAUGGAAUGACUAGUUCUCACAUUUAAUGAUUUUUGAAACCUCUCAAAACUUACCAGUGUCAUUUCUGUUACUUCCUCUGGGUCUGCACCUGUUCUGACUUUGAUUUUUGUUUGUUUAUUUGUUAGUUUUGGGCACACCUCAGCAUGUGGAAGUUCCCAGGCCAGGGAUCAAACCCAUGUCAUAGCUGCAACCUGCACCAUAGCUGCAGCAACGCCAGAUCCUUAACUGGAUGCACAAGGGAACUUCAUUGUUUUGUUGUUUUAAUUUUAAUGAGCCACUAUUCAUUCAGUAUCUUCUACAUGCCAGAACUUUUUUUAUGACAUGCAGAAGUUCCUGGGACAGGGAUCGAACUCAAGCAACAGCUGUAACCAGAGCCGCAGCAGUGACAACACCAGAUCCUUAACCCAUGAACCAUGAGGGAAUUCCCAGAACUUUUGUUUUGUUUUGUCAUUUUGCCAUUUCUUGGGCCGCUCCCGUGGCAUAUGGAGGUUCCCAGGCUACGGGUCGAAUCGGAGCUGUAGCUGCCAGCCUACACUAGGGCCACAGCAACGAGGGAUCCGAGCCGCAUCUGCGACCUACACCACAGCUCACAGCAAUGCCGGAUCGUUAACCCACUGAGCAAGGGAAGGGACCGAACCCUCAACCUCAUGGUUCCUAGUCGGAUUCGUUAACCACUGCGCCACGACGGGAACUCCCAGAACUUUUAAUACAGGGUAUUUUACCUAUAUUAUUUUAAAUUUUUAAUUUUUUUAAGGUCACCCCUGUGGAAGUUCCUGGGCCAGGAGUCCAAUUGGAGCUGCAGCUGAAGCCAGAUCUGUAACCCAUUGAUCAAGGCCAGGUAUCAAACCUGCAUCCUCACAGAGACAAUGUUGGGUCCGUAACCCACUGAGCCACAAUAGGAGCUCCUAUUUAAAAAUUUUUAUAAUGUUACUGUCCUUUUUAUAUAUACAGAUUUGGGAAAAUCACACCAUGCCUCUUUCGCUCAUCCUGGAUAACAUAUUCCUGGAUAUUAAAGGUCUCAUUUCACUCAAUGAGCUGGAAGUUCCCUUUGUGGCUCAGCAGGUUAAGAAUCUGGCUAGUAUCCAUGAGGAUGCAGGUUUGAUCCCUGGCCUCGCUCAGUGGGUUAAGGAUCGGGUGUUGCCUCAAGCUACGGCAUAGGUUGCAGAUGUGGCUCAGAUCAGGAGUGGCUGUGGCAUAGACUGGCAGCUGCAACUCCAACCCCUCUCCUGGAAAAUUCCACAUACUGCAGGUGUAGCCCUCAAAAGAAAAAAAGUGCUAGAGAGGGGAAGAUGUAUAUGGCUGUAAAUUGAUAAGUGAGGGGAAAGGAACUAACAGUUGAGGCCCUACUAUGUGUUAGGCAGUUUAUACAUGCCUAUCUUCUAUAGGUCACUGAGAUAAGUAGAUAGGUAGACAUCACAAAGGAAGCCCAUUUGUCUUGAUAACAAAAAAA